rnacentral:misc_RNA from 1 species
GGAACGAGAAAUAUGCAGAAGACCAUCAGUAGAAAAUCCAGAACACUUAUCCAGCUUCAAAACUUGAAGAACUCUUCCACGACGAUUCGCAAGUAAUUCGAGAUCCGAAUCUCUAACAAUCAUUCUACGAAAAUGAAGUGCUUUCAAUUUACUAAACGACUUAGUUAUCUCCAUAACCCAAGGUGUAACAUAUCCUCCCCAAUCUUCCGGUAUCAAAUUAAACAUAGCAGCUCUUGGUUUCCCUUUCAGUUUAACCGAUUCAAGAUGUGGA